UUUUAGUCAUAUGCUUGUUUCAAAGAUUAAGCCAUGCAUGUGUAAGUAUAAGCGAUUGUACUGUGAGACUGCGAACGGCUCAUUAUAUCAGUAAUAAUUUCUUCGGUAGUUUCUUUUAUAUGGAUACCUGCAGUAAUUCUGGAAAUAAUACAUGCUGUAAGAGCCCUGUAUGGGGCUGCACUUAUUAGAUUGAAGCCGAUUUUAUUGGUGAAUCAUGAUAAUUGAGCAGAUUGACUUUUUUAGUCAAUGAAUCGUUUGAGUUUCUGCCCCAUCAGUUGUCGACGGUAGUGUAUUGGACUACGGGGACUAUAACGGGGGACGGAAAGUUAGGGCUCGACUCCGGAAAGGGAGCCUGAAAAACGGCUACCAUAUCCAAGGAUAGCAGCAGGCGCGUAAAUUACCCACUGGGGACUCCACGAGGUAGUGACAAAAAAUAUCGAUGCGAAGCGUGUAUGCGUUUUGCUAUCGGAAUGAAAGCAAAGUAAAACCCUCAUCGAGGAUCAACUGGAGGGCAAGUCUGGUGCCAGCACCCGCGGUAAUUCCAGCUCCAAAAGCAUAUGCUAAAGUUGUUGCAGUUAAAAAGCUCGUAGUUGAAUUUCUGGCAUGGGCGACCGGGGCUUUCCCUGAAUGGGGAUUGAUUGUCUGUGUUGCCUUGGCCAUCUUUUUCUUUCCUUUUUGGGGAAAAAACCUUUCACUGUAAUCAAAGCAAAGGGUUCCAAGCAGGUCGAAUAACCGGUAGGUUUAUUAUGGGAGGAAAAAAUAGGACUUGGGGGCUAUUUUGUUGGUUUGCACCCCUGAAUAAUGGUUAAUAGGAACAGUUGGGGGAAUUCGAAUUUAGGACCUAGAGGGAAAAUUCUUGGAUUUCCGAAAGACGAACUAGAGCGAAGGCAUUUACCAAGCAUGUUUUCAUUAAUCAAGAACGAAAGUCUGGGGAUCGAAGAUGAUUAGAUACCAUCGUAGUCUAGACCGUAAACGAUGCCGACUUGCGAUUGUUGGGUGCUUUAUUAUAGGGCCCUCACCCACCCCACAUGAAAAAUCAAACUCUUGGGUCCCCGGGGAGAAUAGGCCCACAGGGCAAACUCUAAAGAAAUUUGACAAAGGGGCCCCCCCGGGAGGGGACCCUGCGUUUAAUUUACACUCCACACGAAAAAUCUUCCCGGGCCCACACAUAGAUAAAAUAGACAAAUUGAGAUCUCUUUCGAGACUCUAGGGGGGGGGGCGCGGGCCCUCUCUUAUUGGGGGGAGAGAUUUCUCGGUUAAAUCCCUAAAACAAACGACCCCUCGCCCCACUAUAUAGCGCGGGAUAGGAAAACAUAGUACGUUUUAACCUUUUAAAGGAACUUUCCGGUUUUCCGGGCGAAAAUUUCGAGGAAAACACGGGUUUGGAACCCCCUUAAGUUUUUGGGCCCCCCCCCCCCC
rnacentral:rRNA from 1 species